ACUUGGAGAUAGCUGGUUCUCUCCGAAAUAGCUUUAGGGCUAGCCUCAAGUGAUGAUUAUUGGAGGUAGAGCACUGUUUGGACGAGGGGCCCCUCUCGGGUUACCGAAUUCAGACAAACUCCGAAUGCCAAAUAAUUUAACUUGGGAGUCAGAAUGUGGGUGAUAAGGUCCAUAUUCGAAAGGGAAACAGCCCAGACCACCAGCUAAGGUCCCAAAAUAUAUGUUAAGUGGAAAAGGAUGUGGCGUUGCCCAGACAACUAGGAUGUUGGCUUAGAAGCAGCCAUCAUUUAAAGAGUGCGUAAUAGCUCACUAGUCGAGUGACACUGCGCCGAAAAUGUACCGGGGCUAAACAUAUUACCGAAGCUGUGGAUUGUCCUUUGGACAAUGGUAGGAGAGCGUUCUAAGGGCGUUGAAGCAUGAUCGCAAGGACAUGUGGAGCGCUUAGAAGUGAGAAUGCCGGUGUGAGUAGCGAAAGACGGGUGAGAAUCCCGUCCACCGAUUGACUAAGGUUUCCAGAGGAAGGCUCGUCCGCUCUGGGUUAGUCGGGUCCUAAGCUGAGGCCGACAGGCGUAGGCGAUGGAUAACAGGUUGAUAUUCCUGUACCACCAUUAUUCGUUUUAAGCGAUGGGGGGACGCAGUAGGAUAGGCGAAGCGUGCUGUUGGAGUGCACGUCCAAGCAGUGAGAUUGAGUGUUAGGCAAAUCCGGCACUCUUAAGAUUGAGCUGUGAUGGGGAGAGGAACUUGUUCCUCGAGUCGUUGAUUUCACACUGCCGAGAAAAGCCUCUAGCUAGAAUAACGGUGCCCGUACCGCAAACCGACACAGGUAGUCAAGAUGAGAAUUCUAAGGUGAGCGAGCGAACUCUCGUUAAGGAACUCGGCAAAAUGACCCCGUAACUUCGGGAGAAGGGGUGCUCUUUGAGGUUCACGCUUCGAAGAGCCGCAGUGAAUAGGCCCAAGCGACUGUUUAUCAAAAACACAGGUCUCUGCUAAACCGUAAGGUGACGUAUAGGGGCUGACGCCUGCCCGGUGCUGGAAGGUUAAGAGGAGUGGUUAGCGCAAGCGAAGCUACGAAUCGAAGCCCCAGUAAACGGCGGCCGUAACUAUAACGGUCCUAAGGUAGCGAAAUUCCUUGUCGGGUAAGUUCCGACCCGCACGAAAGGCGUAACGAUUUGGGCACUGUCUCAACGAGAGACUCGGUGAAAUCAUAGUACCGGUGAAGAUGCCGGUUACCCGCGACAGGACGGAAAGACCCCGUGGAGCUUUACUGUAGCCUGAUAUUGAAAUUCGGUACAGUUUGUACAGGAUAGGUAGGAGCCUUAGAAGCGUGAGCGCUAGCUUACGUGGAGGCAUUGGUGGGAUACUACCCUAAUUGUAUUGGAUUUCUAACCCGCAGCACUUAUCGUGCUGGGAGACAGUGUCAGGCGGGCAGUUUGACUGGGGCGGUCGCCUCCUAAAGAGUAACGGAGGCGCUCAAAGGUUCCCUCAGAAUGGUUGGAAAUCAUUCAUAGAGUGUAAAGGCAUAAGGGAGCUUGACUGCGAGACCUACAAGUCGAGCAGGGUCGAAAGACGGACUUAGUGAUCCGGUGGUUCCGCAUGGAAGGGCCAUCGCUCAACGGAUAAAAGCUACCCCGGGGAUAACAGGCUUAUCUCCCCCAAGAGUUCACAUCGACGGGGAGGUUUGGCACCUCGAUGUCGGCUCAUCGCAUCCUGGGGCUGUAGUCGGUCCCAAGGGUUGGGCUGUUCGCCCAUUAAAGCGGUACGCGAGCUGGGUUCAGAACGUCGUGAGACAGUUCGGUCCCUAUCCGUCGUGGGCGUAGGAAAUUUGAGAGGAGCUGUCCUUAGUACGAGAGGACCGGGAUGGACAUACCUCUGGUGUACCAGUUGUCGUGCCAACGGCAUA
rnacentral:rRNA from 1 species